AUAUAUAUAUAUAUAGUGUAGAACUACUAUGCUAUCGAAAAUAUAGAGGAUUUGAUGUUUUUGAAUUUUUGACCUUUUGAUUAAAAAUUGUAUGGUUGGGAUGAUUGUGGUCUUCCCUAAGAUUAAAUAAUACUCUUAGGAUUGAGUGGUCCCUACAAGGUAAUAAUAAUAUUAAUCCAAAGAUAAGAAACGAUUAAAGGGAUGGAUUUAAGAAUCAAAAAAUCGAAAGCACCAGAUCUCUAUACUUUCGAUAGCAUAGUAGCUGUACUAUAUAUAUAUAUAUUCGAGCUUUUCGAGCUUUUCAAGCCUAAUUCAAACGAGCCGAGUAAUACUCAAGCUCGGCUUGAAAUGAAUUUCGAGCCUUUUUUUUUUGUUCAAGCUCGGCUCAUUUAAUUUCGAGUCAAGCUCGGGCGAGCCAAUAUCGAGUCAAACAUGAGUCGAACGCGAGCCGGCUCGCUCUUUUGCCAGCCCUAAGUAUAGUCAAAUGUCAAGAGAGAAGUAAUAUAUUCAGUCUUUAAUCUAUUUUUUCUGAAUAAAAUAAAUCACAUUAUAGGUGAAAUUACUAUUCAACAAACUAAAGAAAAGAAAGGCCUUUUAAAAGCAAAAAUUCAAACUAGAUCCUACCUUCCAAUUAUAUAAAAAAAUUUUCACACCGAAUAAGUUAUCUUUCGAUAAUUUAUUCCGACAUUAAAACAAGGCCUAAAAUAUUUUUCUAAAGCAAGGUAAAUCA
rnacentral:lncRNA from 1 species